rnacentral:tRNA from 1 species
AUUAAAGUGGCAGAUAAUAUGCAUUAGAUUUAAAACCUGAAGAUGAGUGAUUACUCCUUUAAUA